rnacentral:tRNA from 1 species
AGGGGAGUAGUUCAGUUGGUAGAGCAACGGUCUCCAAAACCGUAAGUUGCAGGUUCGAGCCCUGUCUCCCCUGCCA